AUGAUCUUUUCCUACACUUCCUUUGCACAUUGCAUAAUUUCAUUUGACAUUUUGUUGACAGUCACUGGUAUAUUCUUAUGUUGAGUCUGGCAGCAGGUGAAUCUUGAUUAGAAAUGUGCCAUUUCCUUUGCAAAUAUGUACAUCUGUAUGCUAACAUAAUAUGACUCUUGAUGUCUCUGAUAUAUAAAGAGUUUGAUAAACAGGAAAGCAAUUUCCCUCAUGAACAUGAUUAUUAUCAGAAUCUUAUUUUUUUUAAUUGUAGGAAUAAGUUGUGGCUGUAAGGACAUUUCGAUUGAACCAUUUCUGUUUCUGUUUUCUUCAACAUUCCUUGCAAGAUGAAUAAGUUGUGUGGAAGAAAACUCCUUUCCCACUGACAGAUACCAGGAUUCAAUGCAGUGAUGCUCCUGUCCCAGACAGCGUGAUUUUGGGAGGCUCUCCUUUGGCUGACCGUCCUCCUCUUGUGCUGCCAUGCAGAAGGUGCUGAGAUGACAAGAGAGAGUAACAAGCUCUCUCAGGAGCCCUGCUAGUGAAGGAAACAUCACAACUUCCCUUGGUGGCCAACACCCUCAGCCUGUGCCAGCUCUCAUCAUCAGUGUUAUUGCUUAAUGUGAACUUACCGGUCAGCAGAGGGAAAAUCAGAUUAAGCUACGGCACAGUGGUUCCUCAAGUCACCUGAGCGUUGGGUUGUUCCAGUAGCAAGGUGUUUUCUCCAUGCUCCUAUUUCAAAGUUUGGAAGUUUUGAAGUCUCCUUGUGUUAAUGCUGCAUGGAUGAAGAAAAGCACAUUAGAGUUGCUUCAGAGGCUGACACACAUUCUGACAAAUGGGGCACGCAGAGAAGCUGAGCAGGGCUGGAGGGGACUUCUGGAUGACAAAGCCCUACCAGGAAGAAAACACCAUUGGUUAUCCCCAGUCCUGAGCACAUCGAGGUAAUGACCAUGAAAAGGCCACAGGAGGGCAAAAUCCUCAGGACUGCUUCUAAGGCAAAAACUGAAAACUGCUGACUUCCUGUAGCCUCUCCAAAACUUAACUUUCUCUAUACUCAAUGAAAAACUGUGGGUCAUAACCAAAUGACAAUAUCCAACACUGCCCAUGUUGUUAAAAAGAUAUAUAAUCUAUUCCUGGUAUUUUAAGAGGUAAUUUAUGGAAAAUAAUGUUUUUAACAAUUAGUUUUUGGUCAUCCCACAUGAAUGUCAAUGCUAUUUGCCUUUUCUGCAAGGAGUUCUCAAUGCAAAUUGCUUCAAUUUUUGUGAAAUAACUGUAAUAUAGUAGUAACAGCUGACCCUGAUUAUUGGUUUAUAUCAACAGAAGUAAAUUGUGCCCUGUAUCUGCGUGAGAGGUCUCAAGUGAAUGUUAAAAGGGAAGCAUUGGUCAGAGCAUUUCUAAAUUUCUUGUAGUAUAAUUAGUAUUAUGUACAUAAUGCCUUGUGCACUAAAAAUUCAACUGAAAAGUCGCAGAAUUUCAGAAUAGCUGCAUAACAAGUAAAAAAAACCUUAUUUUACACAAUAGAAUACAAAAUAUUAAUAACUAAUGGCGCUGACUAUGUUGAAAAACUGUGUUUUGCAGCAGCUUAUUUGCUCUAUCAAGAAGUGGUACUGUGCUCUUCGUAUCUGUUGAAGUUUCCAUAGAAAUAAGGAGGCAGCACUAGUUUUGGCAAAACCACUGUGUAUUUAAACACCUGACCUUUCCACGGGGGUCCACAUAGGACCCUUUGAAGUGUUGCGUCCCAUUGGAUUCCUUUUCCACAAUCCAGUUUCAACUCAUCAUUGUUCUAGAAUUCAUAACAAUUUGCAUUACAAUAUACUCAUGUUACUAAUACCUGUGAAAACGUCACCAAACUUGUCCUAGUCCUUAAAACAAUAUGAGGUUAGCUUCUUCAGCAAGAAUGAGGGAUGGACAAACGCCUUCUUGGUGUAGCUUCUUAUCAAAAUGU
ensembl:lncRNA